rnacentral:rRNA from 1 species
UCUUGGUCAUUUAGAGGAAGUAAAAGUCGUAACAAGGUUUCCGUAGGUGAACCUGCGGAAGGAUCAUUAAAAGAAAUUUGUUAUACAUUUCAUGUAUCAACUGUUUAAACCCAUUCUGUGUACCUUGCCUGUUGCUUCCAUGGAGCCUGACUUUGGUCACUCUUGUGAUGUAAAUCCCAAGGGAGUCCCCAUGGAAGGUCAUCAAUAAAACUCAUGUAUCCAAUUUCUUCUGUCUGAACUGUUUAUAACAAAUGUUAAAACUUUCAACAACGGAUCUCUUGGUUCUCGCAUCGAUGAAGAACGCAGCGAAAUGCGAUAAGUAGUGUGAAUUGCAGAAUUCAGUGAAUCAUCGAAUCUUUGAACGCACAUUGCGCCUCCUGGUAUUCCGGGAGGCAUGCCUGUUCGAGCGUCAUUAAAUACCUCUCAAGCACCAUUGCUUGGUCAUGGAAGAUGAGUAUGCUUGCAUUCUCCCUUCUGAAAUUCAAAGGCGGAUCAUCUCAUAUUCCCUGGCGUAGUAAGUGUUUAUCUUUCGCUUGGAGUGUGUGACAGUCUUGCCAUCGACCCCCAUUAUUUCAAGGUUGACCUCGGAUCAGGUAGGGAUACCCGCUGAACUUAAGCAUAUCAAUAAGCGGAGGA